rnacentral:rRNA from 1 species
GACGAACGCUGGCGGCGUGCUUAACACAUGCAAGUCGAACGGAAAGGCCCCCACCUUGGUGGGGGUGCUCGAGUGGCGAACGGGUGAGUAACACGUGGGUGAUCUGCCCUGUACUUCGGGAUAAGCUUGGGAAACUGGGUCUAAUACCGGAUAGGACCAUGGUUUAGUGUCUCAUGGUGGAAAAAUUAUUGUUUUGGUGCAGGAUGAGCUCGCGGCCUAUCAGCUUGUUGGUGGGGUAAUGGCCUACCAAGGCGUCGACGGGUAGCCGGCCUGGGAGGGUGGACGGCCACAUUGGGACUGAGAUACGGCCCAGACUCCUACGGGAGGCAGCAGUGGGGAAUAUUGCACAAUGGGCGCAAGCCUGAUGCAGCGACGCCGCGUGGGGGAUGACGGCCUUCGGGUUGUAAACUCCUUUCGUUAGGGACGAAGCCACACCUUUUUUGGGUGUGGUGACGGUACCUUUGUGAAGAAGCACCGGCUAACUACGUG